rnacentral:piRNA from 1 species
UAGGACAUGCUGCCCAGUAGUGGCGGAUCC